GAUGAACGCUGGCGGCGUGCCUAAUACAUGCAAGUCGAGCGAACAGACGAGGAGCUUGCUCCUCUGACGUUAGCGGCGGACGGGUGGGUAACACGUGGAUAACCUACCUAUAAGACUGGGAUAACUUCGGGAAACCGGAGCUAAUACCGGAUAAUAUAUUGAACCGCAUGGUUCAAUAGUGAAAGACGGUUUUGCUGUCACUUAUAGAUGGAUCCGCGCGGCAUUAGCUAGUUGGUAAGGUAACGGGUUACCAAGGCAACGAUGCGUAGCCGACCUGAGAGGGUGAUCGGCCACACUGGAACUGAGACACGGUCCAGACUCCUACGGGAGGCAGCAGUAGGGAAUCUUCCGCAAUGGGCGAAAGCCUGACGGAGCAACGCCGCGUGAGUGAUGAAGGUCUUCGGAUCGUAAAACUCUGUUAUUAGGGAAGAACAAAUGUGUAAGUAACUAUGCACGUCUUGACGGUACCUAAUCAGAAAGCCACGGCUAACUACGUG
rnacentral:rRNA from 1 species